AUUGAACGCUGGCGGCAUGCUUUACACAUGCAAGUCGAACGGCAGCGGGGGCUUCGGCCUGCCGGCGAGUGGCGAACGGGUGAGUAAUGCAUCGGAACGUGCCCAGUCAUGGGGGAUAACUACGCGAAAGCGUAGCUAAUACCGCAUACGCCCUGAGGGGGAAAGCGGGGGGAUCGCAAGACCUCGCGUGAUUGGAGCGGCCGAUGUCGGAUUAGCUAGUUGGUGGGGUAAAGGCCUACCAAGGCGACGAUCCGUAGCGGGUCUGAGAGGAUGAUCCGCCACACUGGGACUGAGACACGGCCCAGACUCCUACGGGAGGCAGCAGUGGGGAAUUUUGGACAAUGGGGGGCAACCCUGAUCCAGCCAUGCCGCGUGAGUGAAGAAGGCCUCGG
rnacentral:rRNA from 1 species